rnacentral:rRNA from 1 species
UACGGAGGAUGCAAGCGUUAUCCGGAUUUAUUGGGUUUAAAGGGUACGUAGGCGGAAGAUUAAGUCAGUGGUGAAAUCCCGCAGCUCAACUGUGGAACUGUCAUUGAUACUGGUUUUCUUGAAUUUAGUUGAGGUAGGCGGAAUGUGUAAUGUAGCGGUGAAAUGCUUAGAUAUUACACAGAACACCGAUUGCGAAGGCAGCUUACUAAACUAUGAUUGACGCUGAGGUACGAAAGCGUGGGGAGCGAACAGGAUUAGAUACCCUCGUA